UAUCCGUAGGUGAACCUGCGGAGGGAUCAUUACAGAGUUCAUGCCCUACCGGGUAGAUCUCCCACCCUAUGUUAUUAUUACUUUGUUGCUUUGGCGGGCCGUUAGGCUCCGGCCCGACUACCGGCCCCGGCUGGUAAGCGCCCGCCAGAGGACCCAAAACCCUGAAAAUUAGUGUCGUCUGAGUACUAUAUAAUAGUUAAAACUUUCAACAACGGAUCUCUUGGUUCUG
rnacentral:misc_RNA from 1 species